GACAAGAAUGUACUUUUUGUAGGUUAGGAGAAUUCACACACCAGGUUACGAUAAUCAAUGUCACAGGUUAGGAUAAUUAGGUCAAGGUUAGGAAAAGGGUAGGCUAAAAUAAAUCAACUUUUGACGUAUAUUUGACAUAAACUGCAUCCCAUCUAGCGAUGAGCAAUACUGUGGCACUGAAACGGUCAGCUGCACAGAUCAGGAACAAGGAAGACACAUCAAUACUAGAUACCAUACAUCUUUGAAGCGUGCCUGUACUAUCGGCAGGGAACAGAUAGAAAGGUUGAACAAGUUACGGAUCUCACGCUGCUUCAGAACGCAAGCUUGGUCUCGAACAGUAAAGCUGGUGGCGCGAUCUGUCGCGAUGUUGUAAACCAUGGACAGCAGAAUAAACGAGAUUCCGGAAAGGACGUUUGAUUUGGUACUACAGAUUGCAUGCCCAACAUCUGAAAAUGAAGAAUUCCGUGCUGAAGAUGGCCCAUUUCUGGCUGCAGAAACUCAAAGGUUAGUGUAGUUUUCAAUGCUUUUUGAAACUGGGAACUAGAGGGAAAAACACCACUUCUUAAGAGGUUGAAACAUUCAACCGAUGGGCACCAACCGAUGGGCAUCAACAUAAUAAUUGUUUUGCAAUCUCUACCUUGCACAGUAAUGUUGCUAUCUCUAAUAUUUUAUAUCACCACGGGUUAAGAGGAUUGAGAAUCCAGUUCCCAAACCACUAUUCAACAAUCUGGUAAAAGCAGCUGUCGGCUCCACCCACUCCUAUAACCCUUUUCUAUUUGACACUCAUUCAUUUUUCACUUAAUAGUUAACAUCUCUGUUUCCCUCCGCUUGUUGCUUCUAUCCUUUCUUUGAAGUGGUGUCAGCUGAGAGAGAAGCCUAAUCCUUUCCACCCUUUACCUAUUAAUCAUACGCACACGCGCACACCCCUAUCUCCCUUCCACCACUCACCUAUUAACCCCCUCUGGCCCCCUUUUCAGCCCCUAUCAAAGCGAUGCGUAUCGACUUUUAAAGACGGGCAUCGGUGGGACGUCCAAACAUUGAUUUGCCACUGACCCUGGCUGCUGGUUGUCUCAGCUGCUGGGGGCUGACUGUGUGUUGCCUUGCCGCACAGCGCAUGUCCCAGGUUAGCCACGCUUGAAUCCCACAGGGAUUAAUGGACACACACAUACACACACACACACUCUGAGCCCCACAUUUUUUACACAUGUAGGCCUAUAUGCUGGAAAACACAAACACGUAUGUUGAGGGAUCAAUGGCCACUCCUGAGCUUGCUGGCAAUCCCGUGCCUGCCUUCACUCUGGGUGUAAAUAGAGGAAUAGUAUCCAGUGAUGAUAGCUGAUAGCUAGGUGAUUUCAAUUGUCACCUAC
rnacentral:lncRNA from 13 species